UUCUGGCCCAAAUCCAACAUUCUAUCCCCAAAUUGGAUGAAUCGUACGAGCGACAAAAAUUAUCUUCUCUCCACCCCAACACCAUCAGUCUUCUCCAAAUCCUUUAGAUAACGCAACGACCCCGACGGUAUACAUCUGAUCUAGUUAUUUGGGUUUUCAUUUCGCAGACAGUCGAUCGAUUUUUUGUCAUUGGCAGCCACGAGCACCAUAACUUGAAGCGGAAUCUUUAGCAAACCUAUUGGUGAGUAUGAUUAAGAAAUGGUAUGAAGUUAAAACCUUUGGUAUCUACGAUUAAAAAAUAUUUGGUUUAAGUAUUUAUUUUAUCAACGAAAUUUUCGAAGUUUCUUUUGUCGAAGAGUAUGAAAUAGUUUAGUAUUUUUAACUUGGACUGGUAAGAAAAUAAUUUUAAACUUAUUUACUUAAAAGCGAACAGAUUUAUAUGUAAAUUUGUUUAGACGCAUCCAUUUGCCACAAUUGUUUAUUUUAUCACUGCAAUCCUCUCUUUUCAACAUAUAUUAAUGUUUUUAUUUGUGAGGGUGUGUUCGCAGCUUGCACGCAAAUUUUAUCAAACAUGGGUGUGUCAAUUUCCUGUUUACUGAUAUGAGAUAAAUUAUUUUUAGUUUUUCAAGUAAUGUGAGUACAGUAAAGUAUAUUCAGAAAUAGAUUAGGAUUGAGUAGUGGUAAGUUCAUUUGCCAACGUUAUGGGAAUCGGAUUGAAUGUUUGACAAGUAAAGUUGGAAAUAGAUUUGAGUAAUCAAGUUACAAGUUAACAAUGACAGAACGUAAAAUCAUUUGAAAGUAUAUUAUUUUUAUUUACAAGUUAACAAUGACAAAACACAAAAUGAAGCUACACUGAUGAGUGUGUGAUUGGCAUGAAGCUGGACGCAUUUGUUCAAGAGAGAUGAGUGGUUAAGGAUGUCCAUGAGUAUGUAACAGUGGUUGGUGGUUGUUACUGGUAUUAAUCGUUUUAUUUGAAAUUUUAUAAUUAUUUGGAGUGAUACAAUUCAAGUGACAGGCUACUGUUCCUUAGUUGAUUUCUUAUAUAUAUGUACCUAUUAAGAAGUAGUUGUUAAUUUCCAUUUCAUUUGCUCGAACAAUGCGUUAUCGAAAUUUUGCAAACAUUCAAUUGAAUUAUUUAUUAUGUUCUAUUGAUAUUCUGCCUACGUGGUUGAAUAGUAGCUUACUAUGACCGGAAAAAAUCACAGAAUAUGUCAUUGUUGUAGAAGUAACGAUCACUUCUUUACAGAGUGCCCAAAUAAAUAUCCAUGCCGGUGGUGUAAACAUGCAUUUGUGAACUGUUUUCAAGUAGAGAAGGAUAAUAAGAACAAAGGUAAAUUGUUCAAUUGUUGCACUGCAGAUAUUGGGAGUGGGUUAAAGAAGGUGAAAGAGCGGUAAAUCAAGUGCCGUUGGCAUUACCUCCACUAAACUUGUGGUGCCUGAAUUAGUUCAAGAUGUCUCUGGCAUGUUCGAAACCAUGUGUCGGCGAACUCAUGAAAAAGAUGUGGAGAUUUCUGUAAAUGUGACAAUACGCAAAGGACAAAGGAUUGUGGAAGGGGAUAAGAAAUGAACGUGGCGGGUGUAAUUUGUAGUUGUUGAUGUAAUAAAAUUGUUCUUGAACUUAUGUGGAGACAUCAUUUCGAUGCCUACUUUGUGGUUAACAUAGUGUGAAAUUUGUGUAGUGCUAUUUAACUGAUGUGAGGACUUCGUUUUGAUGCCUACUAUGUGGUUAAUAUAAUGUGAAAUCUAUGUAGUAAUGUUUUGGAAUUUUUGAAUUGCAGAGAAGCUGGAUUCUUUUAUGUGUAA
rnacentral:lncRNA from 1 species